rnacentral:rRNA from 1 species
UAAGUGAAGAGUUUGAUCAUGGCUCAGAUUGAACGCUGGCGGCAGGCCUAACACAUGCAAGUCGAACGGUAACAUGAACUAGCUUGCUAGUUUGAUGACGAGUGGCGGACGGGUGAGUAAUGCUUGGGAAUUUGCCUUUAGGUGGGGGACAACAGUUGGAAACGACUGCUAAUACCGCAUAGUAGCUACGGCUUAAAGAGGGCUUCGGCUCUCGCCUUUAGAGAAGCCCAAGUGGGAUUAGGUAGUUGGUGAGGUAAAGGCUCACCAAGCCGACGAUCCCUAGCUGGUCUGAGAGGAUGAUCAGCCACACUGGAACUGAGACACGGUCCAGACUCCUACGGGAGGCAGCAGUGGGGAAUAUUGCACAAUGGGCGCAAGCCUGAUGCAGCCAUGCCGCGUGUGUGAAGAAGGCCUUCGGGUUGUAAAGCACUUUCAGCGAGGAGGAAGGUUUAGUAGUUAAUACCUGCUAGAUUUGACGUUACUCGCAGAAGAAGCACCGGCUAACUCCGUGCCAGCAGCCGCGGUAAUACGGAGGGUGCGAGCGUUAAUCGGAAUUACUGGGCGUAAAGCGUACGCAGGCGGCCAUUUAAGUCAGAUGUGAAAGCCCCGGGCUCAACCUGGGAACUGCAUUUGAAACUGGAUGGCUAGAGUGUGAGAGAGGGUGGUAGAAUUUCAGGUGUAGCGGUGAAAUGCGUAGAGAUCUGAAGGAAUACCAAUGGCGAAGGCAACCACCUGGAUCAACACUGACGCUCAUGUACGAAAGCGUGGGUAGCAAACAGGAUUAGAUACCCUGGUAGUCCACGCCGUAAACGAUGUCUACUAGCAGUUCGUCUCUUAAGAGAUGUCUUGCGCAGCUAACGCAUUAAGUAGACCGCCUGGGGAGUACGGCCGCAAGGUUAAAACUCAAAUGAAUUGACGGGGGCCCGCACAAGCGGUGGAGCAUGUGGUUUAAUUCGAUGCAACGCGAAGAACCUUACCAUCCCUUGACAUCCAGAGAAUUUUC